AUUGAACGCUGGCGGUAUGCUUAACACAUGCAAGUCGAACGGUAACAGGCCUUCGGGCGCUGACGAGUGGCGGACGGGUGAGUAACGCGUAGGAAUCUGCCUUAUAGUGGGGGACAACGUGGGGAAACCCACGCUAAUACCGCAUACGCCCUACGGGGGAAAGCGGGGGAUCGUAAGACCUCGCGCUAUGAGAUGAGCCUGCGUUAGAUUAGCUAGUUGGUAGGGUAAAGGCCUACCAAGGCGACGAUCUAUAGCUGGUCUGAGAGGACGACCAGCCACACUGGGACUGAGACGCGGCCCAGACUCCUACGGGAGGCAGCAGUGGGGAAUAUUGGACAAUGGGCGCAAGCCUGAUCCAGCAAUACCGCGUGUGUGAAGAAGGCCUUAGGGUUGUAAAGCACUUUCAAUGGGGAGGAAAACCUGCCGGUCAAUACCCGGUAGCUUGACAUUACCUAUAGAAGAAGCACCGGCUAACUCCGUGCCAGCCGCCGCCGUAAAAC
rnacentral:rRNA from 1 species